rnacentral:rRNA from 1 species
UACGUAGGGACCAAGCGUUGUUCGGAUUUACUGGGCGUAAAGGGCGCGUAGGCGACAAUUCAAGUCAGCUGUGAAAUCUCCGGGCUUAACUCGGAACGGUCAGCUGAUACUGUUUUGCUAGAGUGCAGAAGGGGCAAUCGGAAUUCUUGGUGUAGCGGUGAAAUGCGUAGAUAUCAAGAGGAACACCUGAGGUGAAGACGGGUUGCUGGGCUGACACUGACGCUGAUGCGCGAAAGCCAGGGGAGCAAACGGG